GAUUCAAUUUCAAACCCGAUUUAAAACAAAAAGCUAGGAUUUGCAACAUGUGCUAGCAUGUCUAUUUUGCAAACAUGAUCUAAUCUAAUUAGACCCCUGAUCAUUUCUCUUUGUGUGAACCCAUUGGGUUUCAUAUCUAGCUAGCAGUAGAUCUGAGUGUAAGUCGAUCUAAUUUGAUUAGAACUUAAUCUAACUGAUCUAGAUCUAAUCGAGCUAACUCGAUUUCAGUAAUUAGAACUCUUUCUAAUUGACGAU
rnacentral:lncRNA from 1 species